CUUAUUGAGAGUUUGAUCCUAGCUCAGGGUGAAUGCUGGCGGCGUGGAUAAGUCAUGCAAGUCAAGGGGGCCCGCAAGGACAACCGGCAAACGAGGUAGUAACACGUAGGUACGUCCCCCGAAGUCGGGCAUAGCCAGCCGAAAGGUUGGGUAAUUCCCGAUAGUCCCGCAAGGGUAAAGGUUUUUCGCUUUGGGAGCGGCCUGCGUAGUAUCAGCUAGUUGGUAGGGUAACGGCCUACCAAGGCUACGACGCUUAGGGGGGGUGAGAGCCUGAUCCCCACCGAUGGAACUGCGACACGGUCCAUACUCCUACGGGAGGCUGCAGACGAGAAUAUUCCGCAAUGGGCGAAAGCCUGACGGAGCGACGCCGCGUGAUGGAUGAAGUGCCUUGGUACGUAAACAUCUUUUAUCGGGGACGAAGUUUAUUGACGGUACCCGAUGAAUAAGGGGCUCCUAACUCUGUGCCAGCAGGAGCGGUAAUACAGAGGCCCCAAGCAUUACCCGGAAUCACUGGGCGUAAAGGGUGUCUAGG
rnacentral:rRNA from 1 species